GUUGAGUUGAAAAAAAGGAGAAGGCGAAGUUUACUUGUGAGAAGGAGAGUGUUAGCUUUGCUUUGGUGUUUAAAGCAAGAGAAGCAGAUUCGUCACGUAUUGGUAGAACAGAGUUCCGACGUACCAAAGCUUAUCUAAAGUUAACGAAUUUUGGUAGGUUUGUUCCUAACGCGUGUACGUUAAUUCUCCUGUUUACAGAAGUGAAUUCGGAUUAAUACUCAGUGAGUUAUAUGCAGUUUGGUGAGACGAAUUUUCUCUGUUGCGAACUGGGAUCAGCGAAGUUUGUAAGUGCGAUCGCGGUUUUAUCGCUUCUCUGAUCGGCACCAAUUUUUGUGGGAAGCUUUGUGACGUCUGGAUCUUGUUUUUCACCGUAUGGAUUAAGAAGUUAACGGUUGGUUUAUGUUUUAGGGCUUCGUUUCUGCCGCUGUAGUUUUUCUGCUGUUUUUGUCCUUUUGGUUCUUAGAGAUUUUUGUUUGUGUGGUUUGUUGUAGGGCGUUGUUUUGCUGUUGCAGUCGCGAAGAGAGGUUUUCCUGG
rnacentral:lncRNA from 1 species